rnacentral:tRNA from 1 species
GCAGUCGUGGCUGAGUGGUUAAGGCGUUGGACUAGAAAUCCAUUGGGGUCUCCCCGCACAGGUUCGAAUCCUGUCGACUGCG